GGAUGCGAGCGUGGUCUGGCUGCAACAUCUGUCUCCCCAGUGAUUGCUGGGGUUGAUUUGGCUGGUCUGGCUGGCUAGGUGGGUGUUCCCUUCCUUUAUCUCCAUGUGUGUCCGUCCUGAAGCUCCAUGCUUGGCAGAAAGGAGACCUUCUUUCUUGAAGGACUGUUCUUCAGGCAAGGAUAAAUGAGUGGCUGUGCUCCCCUGCUGGAACCCCCAAACAAGCUCUCAAGGUCUGUUUGUAGGAGAACAUCGGGUAGUCAAACUUCCAGGACUCCAGACAAAUCCAAAUGACGUGCUGCCUGUGGCAGUCUGCCUUUCUUC
rnacentral:snRNA from 1 species